GCCAGGCGCAGUGGCGCAUGCCUAUUGUCUCAGCUACUCGGGAGGCUGAGGUGGGAGGAUCUCUUGAGCCCAGAAGUUCUGGGCUGUAGUGCGCUAUGCCGAUCGGGUGUCUGCACUAAGUUCGGCAUCAAUAUGGUGACCUCCCAGAAGCAGGGGACCACCAGGUUGCCUAGGGAGGGGUGUACCGGCCUAGGUCAGAAACGGAGCAGGUCAAAACUCCCGUGCUGAUCAGUAGUGGGAUCAUGCCUGUGAAUAGCCACUGCACUCCAGCCUGGGCAACAUAGCAAGACCCUGUCUCU
rnacentral:SRP_RNA from 1 species